rnacentral:rRNA from 1 species
AGCGAACGCUGGCGGCAGGCCUAACACAUGCAAGUCGAGCGCCGUAGCAAUACGGAGCGGCAGACGGGAGAGUAACACGUGGGAACGUACCCUUUGGUUCGGAACAACCCAGGGAAACUUGGGCUAAUACCGGAUAAGCCCUUACGGGGAAAGAUUCAUCGCCGAAGGAUCGGCCCGCGUCUGAUUAGCUAGUUGGUGGGGUAAUGGCCCACCAAGGCGACGAUCAGUAGCUGGGCUGAGAGGAUGAUCGGCCUCACUGGGACUGAGACACGGCCCAGACUCCUACGGGAGGCAGCAGUGGGGAAUAUUGGACAAUGGGCGCAAGCCUGAUCCAGCCAUGCCGCGUGGGUGAUGAAGGCCUUAGGGUUGUAAAGCCCUUUCGGCGGGGAAGAUAAUGACGGUACCCGCAGAAGAAGCCCCGGCUAACUUCGUGCCAGCCGCCGCGGUAA